GGCCCCGUGGUGGAAAUGGUAGACACAGCAGCUUUGGGAGCUGCCGCCUGCAAGCAUGUCGGUUCAAAUCCGGCCGGGGCCACCA
rnacentral:tRNA from 3 species